rnacentral:rRNA from 1 species
GACGAACGCUGGCGGCGUGCCUAAUACAUGCAAGUAGAACGCUGAAGCUUGGUGCUUGCACCGAGCGGAUGAGUUGCGAACGGGUGAGUAACGCGUAGGUAACCUGCCUGGUAGCGGGGGAUAACUAUUGGAAACGAUAGCUAAUACCGCAUAAGAGUAGAUGUUGCAUGACAUUUGCUUAAAAGGUGCAAUUGCAUCACUACCAGAUGGACCUGCGUUGUAUUAGCUAGUUGGUGAGGUAACGGCUCACCAAGGCAACGAUACAUAGCCGACCUGAGAGGGUGAUCGGCCACACUGGGACUGAGACACGGCCCAGACUCCUACGGGAGGCAGCAGUAGGGAAUCUUCGGCAAUGGACGGAAGUCUGACCGAGCAACGCCGCGUGAGUGAAGAAGGUUUUCGGAUCGUAAAGCUCUGUUGUAAGAGAAGAACGAGUGUGAGAGUGGAAAGUCACACUGUGACGUAUCUACCAGA